rnacentral:rRNA from 1 species
AACGAACGUUAGCGGCGCGCCUAACACAUGCAAGUCGAGCGAGAAGGGAGCAAUCCCAGUAAAGCGGCGCACGGGUGAGUAACACGUAGGUAAUCUUCCUCGAGGUGGUGGAUAACCUUCCGAAAGGAGGGCUAAUACAGCACGAGACCACGUCUCCGAAAGGGGAUGAGGUUAAAGCGGGCCUCUAUACAUAAGCUCGCGCCAUGAGAUGAGCCUGCGGCCCAUCAGCUAGUUGGUAGGGUAAUGGUCUACCAAGGCAAAGACGGGUAGCUGGUCUGAGAGGGUGAGCAGCCACAAUGGAAGUGAGACACAGUCCAGACUGCGACGGGAGGCAGCAGUGGGGAAUCUUUGGCAAGGGGCGAAAGCCUGACGCAGCGACGCCGCGUGAGUGAUGAAGGCCUUCGGGUUGUAAAGCUCUGUGGAGGGGGACGAAUAAGGGUUGGCUAAUAUCCAACUUGAUGACGGUACCCCUUUAGCAAGCACCGGCUAACUCUGUGCCAGCAGCCGCAGUAAAAC